AUGGCCGCGCAGAGCUCCUCCCGCCUUCACCGCCUCCUCACAUUGCUCGACACCGGUUCGACGCAAGCGACAAGGUUCGCGGCCGCGCGCCAGAUCGGAGAAAUCGCAAGGACACAUCCCCAGGAGCUAAAUGCUCUGUUGAAAAAGGUGUCUCAGUACCUUCGUAGUAAGAAUUGGGACACGAGGGUUGCUGCAGCUCAGGCGAUCGGUUCCAUAGCAGAGAAUGUCAAGCACACGUCAGUCAAAGAUUUGUUUGCAGCCGUGGAAGCAGAAAAACAUGCUUCUGGGUUAUCUGAUGAAACUGGUGAUGUUGCGUCAGCAUUGCCACGCCCUGAUACUACUGCAACAUCUGAGCUUGCUUUUGGAAGCUUUGAUAUAAACAGGGUACUGGAAUUUGGGUCUCCUUUGUUGUCAUCGGGUGGACAGGAAUUCGAUGUUGCUAACGAUAAUGGCAAGAAUCCAUCAGACCGCUUAGCUCGCCAAAAGCAAAAUCUUCGGCGGCGUUUAGGUCUCGAUGUGUGCGAGCAGUUUAUGGAUCUCAAUGAUGUUUUCAAAGAUGAGGAUCUUCUUGCCCAAAAGAAUUAUUGGGGUGCAAAUGUCCAAAACAAUGGAUUUUAUUCGUAUAAUAGUGGUCAGAAUAUUCAGCACUUGGUUGCCUCCAUGGUUCCUAGGUAUCCAAAACAUUCUACUUUUCGACCUAAGCGGCUAAGUGCCAGGGAACGUAAUAUGCUGAAGCGUAAAGCAAAGAGCAAUGCAAAGGAUCAUACAAAGUCUAUACCGGAGGAUGACGAGGUUGUGCUAAAAAGUUCUGCAUCGUCCAACGGAGCUUCUUCUGACCAAGCUGGCACAUAUAAUGAUGCUUCUGACACAGUUGCAGAUGAAGACAAUGUGGAGUAUAGUGACAGUGGGAGAUGGCCUUUUCAACAGUUUGUUGAUCAGCUUAUUCUUGACAUGUUUGACCCUAUUUGGGAAGUUCGCCAUGGCACCAUUAUGGCUUUGAGGGAAAUUUUGACGCAUCAAGGUGCUUGUGCUGGAGUAUAUUUCCCUGAUCUGAGCUCACCUUUUGCUGAUCUGGAUGAUAAAACCGAUUCUGACACCCUGAAAAAGCCUCAUGGUAUUGAUCUUAAUGAAGACAUUGAUGCGGAACAUCUUGAACCGGUUUUGAAGAGGCAUAAGAAAGAAGAGCUAAAUCCUUCUGAGAUUAUGCUUGAACCAGUUGUGGAGAGACAUAUGGAAGAGGAGAAGCCAAAUCCUUCUGAGCUUAUGGACAUUGACGCGGAUAAGGAUCUGGUCAAUCCUGAUGAUUCCAAAGCCGAGGCAGGUUUGAGUAAUGUGCUCACUGUAUCGAGUGGUGAACCUAAUUCUGCUCAUGUAAAGGUCGAGCCAGAGUUGCAGCUUGAUAAUUCAACUGAUCCGUCUAAAGUGGAAACAUCAUGUACAUCACUCAACAGUGCACUCAACUCGGUAUCAAAUCCAAGUUCUGUUGUACAUGCUCCUGACAAUUCAAAAUAUGUGAAACUGAUGAAAUUGGCCAAGUACUCGUGUAUGAAGAAUUGGGAGUUUCUUCAAGAUUGUGCAAUUCGUUUCCUUUGUGCACUCUCACUGGACCGCUUUGGUGAUUAUGUAUCUGAUCAAGUGGUUGCCCCUGUCCGUGAAACUUGCGCUCAAGCUCUUGGUGCUGUUCUGAAGUACAUGCAUCCUUCUUUAGUGUGCCAUACACUAAAUAUCUUGCUGCAAAUGCAGCGCAGGCAAGAGUGGGAAGUUCGUCAUGGGAGCCUCCUUGGAAUUAAAUACCUGGUUGCGGUUCGCAAGGAAAUGCUUAAAGAUCUGUUUGAGUAUGUCCUUCAUGCUUGUAAAGCUGGUCUGGAAGAUCCGGAUGAUGAUGUCCGUGCUGUAGCUGCAGAGGCCCUGAUCCCGGCUGCUGCUUCUUUAGUUAGACUAAAUGAUCAAUUGCUGAAUUCAGUUGUGAUGUUGUUAUGGGAUAUAUUGCUUGACCUUGAUGACCUAAGCCCAUCUACAAGCAGUGUAAUGAAUUUGUUAGCUGAGAUAUAUUCGCAACCAGAGAUGGUUCCAAAGAUGCUUGGCACGGCAGCCUUAAGCGAGAGAGAAUUUGAUCUAAACAAAGCUACUCAGAUGGCUGAGCAAGAAGACAAGUUGGCAUACAGCGAGAACCCUUAUGUUUUAGCCACACUGACACCCCGUUUGUGGCCUUUUAUGAGACACAGUAUUACAUCAGUCCGGCGUUCUGCUAUACGAACAUUGGAGAGGCUUCUUGAGGUUUGCAACACCAGGAGUUCAGCUGGAGACGCCUCAUCUAAUUUCUGGCCUACAUCCAUAUUAGGUGAUUCACUGCAGGUUGCCUUCCAGAAUAUACUUUUGGAGUCGAAUGACGAGAUUCUUCAAUCUUCUGAAAGGGCUUGGAAACUUCUACUUCAGUGCCCUGAGAAAGACCUUGAGUGUGCUGCAAUAUCAUAUUUUAGUAAUUGGGUGCAACUUGCUACGACUCCGUAUGGCUCAACAUUGGAUUCUACAAAAAUGUUUAUGCCAGUUGCCCUUCCCCGAGGAAGCCGUUCAAGAGCUGCAAAGAUAAGAUCUGCAAAGCUAGAACAUGAAAGUUCAAGAAUGAUAUCUUUUGGUUCUACAGGAGAAAAUACUUCACACGAGAAGCAAUUCGAUCUUUCUUCAAAUGUUCCAAAGAUAAUCGUGGGGGCCGAUUCUGACAAAUCUGUUACCCAUACACGAGUGCUAACAGCAAUGGCCCUUGGGCUUUUCGCCUCAAAGUUGCCAGUUGGCUCGUGGCAAGUUGUUCUUACUCCACUUGCUAAUGAUGUCAUGUCUCUCUCAGGAGUCCAGAGACAGGUGGCUUCUAUGGUUAUUGUUUCUUGGUUUAAAGAUCUCAGAGGAAGAGAUCUCGCUGCAGUGGGCACAUUGCUAGCUUUCUUCUCCUCUGUGAAAGAGUAUCUUUUGGACUUGCUGUCUUGCUCUGAUCCGGCAUUUCCAACAAAAGGCUCUGUGCUUCCCUAUUCUGAACUUGCAAGAACAUACACAAAGAUGCGCAAUGAAGCCACUAAUUUAUUCCGCACAGUAGAGUCUUGUGCUGUUUUCAAAGAUUAUGCCAGCAGCUUAAAUUUUAACGCUGACAUGCUGAGCGUUGAUGAUGCUAUUAAUUUUGCUUCAAAGCUGUCGUUACCCACUGAGUUUGAUCUCCCUUCGGACAGUGAGAAAAUUGUCCUGAAUAACAUAGAGUCAGCUAAACAAGGCCUGUUGUCCACAUCAGGCUACUUGAAGUGUGUUCAGAACAAUUUGCACGUCACUGUCUCUUCUUUAGUGGCUUCUGCUGUUGUCUGGAUGUCGGGGUUACCAAGCAAGUUGAAUCCAGUCAUUUUACCUUUAAUGGCUGCAAUAAAAAGAGAACAGGAGGAACUACUUCAAGACAAAGCUGCAGAUGCACUUGCGGAGCUCAUUUUUGGUUGUGUUGGUCGGAAGCCAGGCCCCAAUGACAAGCUUACAAAGAACCUCUGCACCUUAGCAUGCACUGAUAUCAGCGAGACACCUCAAGCUGCUGUUAUCAAUUCAAUACAGGUUAUCGAGGACCAAAAUUUGUUGUCAAUCGGGAAGCGUUUUAGCAACCACAAAUCCAGGGGUCAUGUGAAUUCUGAUGGUGAAGAAAGAACAAAAACGGAAGGUUAUAUAAGUCGUCGUGGAUCAGAGUUGGCUUUAAAGCAUCUCUGUGAGAAAUUUGGAUCAUCAUUAUUCGAAAAACUUCCCAAGUUGUGGGAUUGCCUUACCGAGUUUCUUGAACCUAUUAAGAUCGAAGAUGACAUUCAGAAAGAUGAUCCAAGUAUCACACAACUAGGCAGGUCUUGUGAGGAUAAGGACCCACAGUCCCUCAUAAAUAACAUCCAGGUUGUUCGUUCAAUUACACCUCACCUGCCUGAGCCCUUGAGGCCUCAGCUGUUAAGGCUCCUUCCCUGUAUUCUUGGGUGCGCGCGUCAUUCUCAUGUGGCUGUUAGGUUAGCUGCUGCCAGGUGUAUCACGUCAAUGGCGAAGUCACUGACCGGUAAUGUGAUGGUAGUUGUCAUAGAAAAUGCCAUUCCAAUGUUGUCGGAUUCAUCUUCUGUGUGUGCAAGACAAGGAGCUGGGAUGCUUUUGAGCCUUCUUGUUCAGGGUUUGGCUGUGGAGUUGGUUCCUUAUGCUCCUUUCCUUGUUGUACCUCUUCUGAGGUGCAUGAGCGACCCUGAUGGAUCUGUUAGGCAGUCUGUCACUCACAGUUUCGCUGCUUUGGUCCCUUUACUGCCAUUAGCGAAGGGAGUUCCGCUACCAAGUGGACUAAGUGAGCGCUUAUAUAGCAGCACAGAAGAUGCGCAGUUUCUGGAACAACUCCUUGACAACUCUCAAAUCGAUGAUCACAAGCUCAACAUUCAUCUCAGUGUUGAGUUGCGCAGGUACCAGCAAGAAGGAAUCAACUGGUUAGCAUUCCUUAGACGGUUUAAGUUACAUGGAAUUUUAUGUGAUGACAUGGGGCUUGGCAAGACACUCCAGGCGUCUGCUAUCGUAGCAAGUGAUAUUGCCGAGUCCCGUGCACGGAAUGAUGACAAAGAUCCAAAAUCUUUGAUUAUCUGUCCUUCUACAUUAGUAGCACACUGGGAAUACGAAGUGGAGAAAUACAUAGACAGCUCUAUCAUGAAACCUCUUCAGUACAUUGGCUCGUCACAAGACAGGAUGACGCUCCGUGCUCAAUUCGAUAAAUUCAAUGUCAUCAUAACAUCGUAUGAUAUUAUACGCAAGGAUAUCGAUUUUCUCGAGAGUGUCAUUUGGAACUAUUGUGUUCUGGAUGAAGGGCACAUAAUAAAGAACUCAAGAUCUAAAAUAACGUCUGCUGUGAAGCAGUUGAAAGCACAGCACCGUCUUAUCUUGAGUGGAACUCCUAUUCAGAACAAUGUAUUGGAAUUGUGGUCGCUAUUUGACUUCCUUAUGCCAGGGUUUCUUGGAACAGAAAAACAGUUCCAAUCUACAUAUGGGAAACCACUGAUAGCAGCUAAAGAUUCCAAAUGUUCAGCAAAGGAUGCUGAAGCAGGCAUUCUUGCAAUGGAGGCACUUCACAAACAGGUCAUGCCAUUUCUACUCAGAAGAACCAAGGAUGAAGUCUUAUCGGAUCUUCCAGAGAAGAUUAUCCAGGACAGACAUUGCAAUCUCAGCCAUUUACAGCUGAAACUUUAUGACAAGUUCUCCAGCUCCAACGUGAAAGAAGAGAUUUCAACUAUAGUAAAAGCAGAUGAAUCAGAGCCAUCCACCUCUCAACCAAAGGCAACUCGCCAUGUGUUCCAGGCACUACAAUACCUGUUGAAGCUCUGCAGCCAUCCUUUACUUGUAAUUGGGGAAAGCCCACCUGACUAUAUUGUGGAGCAUCUAAAGGAAAUAGGUAUGGGAACUGGUGAUGAACUGCAUGAGCUGCACCACUCUCCUAAGCUUGUUGCUCUUCAAGAGAUAUUGCAAGAGUGUGGUAUAGGAUCAGAAAUAUCUAGUCCUGAUGCUUCUGCAGCUGUUGGGCAACACAGAGUUUUGAUUUUUGCUCAACAUAAGGCUUUCCUUGACAUUAUUGAGAAGGACCUGUUUCAGUCCCAUAUGAGAAGCGUCACCUAUUUGCGGCUUGAUGGCUCUGUUCAAACGGACAAGAGAUUUGAAAUUGUCAAAACGUUCAAUUCGGACCCAACCAUCGAUGUGCUUCUACUAACGACUCAUGUUGGUGGUCUGGGCUUGAAUUUGACGUCUGCUGACACUUUGGUCUUCAUGGAACAUGAUUGGAACCCAAUGAAGGAUCUUCAGGCGAUGGACAGAGCACAUCGUCUGGGCCAAAGGAAAGUUGUGAAUGUGCACCGUCUCAUCAUGCGCGGCACCCUGGAGGAGAAAGUGAUGAGUCUCCAGCGGUUCAAGGUGUCGGUCGCCAACGCGGUCAUAAACUCUGAGAACGCUAGCCUGAAGACCAUGAACACUGACCAGCUACUCGAUUUGUUCACUUCGACCCCUGCUUCCAGAAAGGCGUCGGUUCUCCCAAGCAGUUCGAGCGCCACGGAAGAAGAGAGCAACAAGGGGAAACCGGGUCGCAAGGGCCUCAAGUCAAUCCUGAGUGGGCUGGACGAGCUGUGGGACCAGUCGCAGUACGCGGACGAGUAUGAUAUGAACCAGUUCUUGGCGAAGCUCAACGGGUGA
rnacentral:rRNA from 1 species